UGCUUCCUAAGCUGAGGGCGGGUUCCCUCCAGCUCGACGAACAGGAAUGGGCGGGAGCCGGCAGCGGGCUGAGCGAUGGCUUGUGCUGGGAUAUUGGCAACUCCCAUUUGUCGUGAUGUCCCAUCGGAUGGCUAAACCAAGACAUAGAACUGUGCCCAGCACCCUGUGAGAGGCACAGCCCCAGGUGAGGACCAAAGUGCAUGUCCUUGUCUGCCACUAGUGAGCACGGAGGGCUGGAGGAUAGCCCCUUGCCUAUGGCCUUCUUUGCCAGGUGGUUAUGUUUACAUGCUCUGCUGAAAGAGAGUUAUAAUGGCAUUUAGGUCUUCAGUGUUUUUUCAGUCCCAGAGAAGGAGCAGUUUUUCAAUGGAGCAAUCGGUCUGAGCUGAACAUGAUGUUGGAGAAAUGCCCUUCCUUCUUGAAUGCCAGUGCUUAAAUUCAUCUAAAAACUGCUCUACCUUUACAAAUAAGGUAUGAUUACAGCAGCCAGGGUGUACUGGAUGCACCUUUCCUUUGUUAAUAUGUAGACAAAUUGUCUUUACCCUGUGCCGAAUUCACUAUUACACUGUGCUGAGCUGAAACUUAAUUGAAAUAAAUAUUGUUCUUCCCAGCA
rnacentral:lncRNA from 1 species